GAUGAAGAACGUAGCGAAAUGCGAUACUUGGUGUGAAUUGCAGAAUCCCGUGAACCAUCGAGUCUUUGAACGCAAGUUGCGCCCGAAGCCUCGGCUAAGGGCACGUCUGCCUGGGCGUCACGCAUCGCGUCUCCCCCAAACCGCCAAGGCGGAGGGGAAGGAAGAUGGCUUCCCGUGCCUCACCCGGCGCGGUUGGCCUAAAUUUGGAGCCCGCGGCACUUAGCUCUCGUGGCGAUAGGUGGUGAACAAGGCCUUGGCCGUGCAAACAACCCGCUGCGAAUCUCCAUGUCACGUGCGCUCGUCGGACCCUUUGAAGUUGCCUUCGGUGACUUAAAACCUUUGCGACCCCAGGUCAGGCGGGGCUACCCGCUGAAUUUAAGCAUAUCAAUAAGCGGAGGA
rnacentral:misc_RNA from 1 species